UCAAAUUUGAUUUUGAUUUUCAAGUACGAAUAGCAGACCGUGAAAGCGCGGCUAUCGAUUGCCCUUUGAUUAAUCAGCAGUUUUGAUGCAAGGCGGUGAUCAGAAAAAGUUACCAAACCAAGGGAUAUACUGGGCUUGUGGGCGGCCAAGCGUUCAUAGCGACGCGUCGCUUUUUGAUCCUUCGAUGUCGCUGCUUUCCUAUCAAUUGUGAAGCAAAAUUCACCAAAGCGUUGGAUUGUUCACCCACGCAAUAGGGAACGUGAGCUGGGUUUAGACGCGUCGUGAAUACACGAGGUUAGUUUUACCCUAACUGAUGUCUUGUCGUUGCUAUGGUAAUCCUGCUAGUAGCGAGAGGGAAACCGCAAGGUUCAGACAUUUGGUUUUAUGUGCUUGGUCGAAAGACCGAAAUGGUGGCGAAAGGCUACCAUCUGAGGGAUUAAAAGACCUGGAAAGCCUCUUAAGUCUGAAUCCCGCCCAGAAAUGGCAACGAUACGAUACUAUCGGUGUGCCCCUACGCCUUGAGGCAACGAUAUACUCCGGCCCGAAAUCCGAUUUCGGCCGGCCGAGACUGGCUAAAGCCACUGCGAUAACUGGCCAACCCGCUGUCUUGAAAUUUGGGCAGUGGAGGCACAGACACGAAUAACCCACUUGAUUGAGAGACGUAGGGGUUCUAUAUCGUUUGUAGACGACUUAGAUCUCGCGGUCGGGGUGCCGUACUUAGUUGAGCAGUUCUUUCACUGCCGAUCUAUUGAGGCUAAGCCUUUUGACGGGGAGAUAUGU
rnacentral:ncRNA from 1 species